CCGCGUUGACGAAAAGCAAGCUGGGGUCGCCGCGGGGCCUCACGGAAGCGGAUGGCACCAGGCGGUGGCCAUGGCGGUCCCGAAAGAAGCUCAGGAAGGCGUCCCGCACGGCCGCGGCCUGGGUUGGAGGGGCCUCGGAUGAGAACGCCCGACGGCUGGGGCCCCGCCAUUGCGGCGACCUUCGAAUGGCCCGCCGAAGUCGCCCGGCUGCAGCUGCCACCGACGCCGCCAUCUUAACUCGGGGCAAUGACUUCACGGGGUCAAAGGGCAGUGCGGAGAUAGAAGCAUCUCAGUUCCCCGACCAGGGAUUGAACAGAGGCCUCGGCAGAGAAAGCACGGAGUCCUAGACACUAGAUCACCAGGAAACUCCCCUCUUUGCUUUGUUUGGUAUUUUGUGCGUGUAUUCUACAGGCCCCAGCCAACAAUGGUGCCUCGAAGACUGUUCUCAUGGAUUUUUCUCUGAUUUUCUGUCGUCACCGUGAGAAACUGCUCUGCAGCUGAUGUCUCAGUGUCAGAUCACGGCCUCCAGUGUAAUAGGAGCUGCCAACUUCGCAGUUAAUUUCCCUUGCCCGCCUCAGUAAUAA